rnacentral:misc_RNA from 1 species
AAGUCGUAACAAGGUUUCCGUAGGUGAACCUGCGGAAGGAUCAUUAGUGAAUUAUAGGGUACCCUUGCUUUCAUUAGCAGAGGGCCUGACCUCCACUCUCUCACACUUGUGCACCUAAACAAUGUCGUUGGUUGGCGCGAACAGGGACUUCGGUACCCAAGUAGUGACUUCUGACUUCAUUACCUUUAAUUCAUAACUCUAAAAGUAACAGAAUGUAACCAAACCAUAACAAAUAAAA